UACAGAGGGGGCAAGCGUUAUUCGGAAUUAUUGGGCGUAAAGGGCGCGUAGGCGGCCUGGCAAGUGGAAGGUGAAAUCCCUCAGCUUAACCGAGGAACUGCCUCCCAAACUGCUUGGCUCGAGACCGGGAGAGGUGAGUGGAAUUCCCAGUGUAGCGGUGAAAUGCGUAGAUAUCGGUAGGAACACCAGUGGCGAAGGCGGUCUCCUGGGGCACUCUUGACGCUGAGGCGCGAAAGCUGGGGGAGCGAACGGG
rnacentral:rRNA from 1 species